GAUGAACGCCGGCGGUGUGCCUAAUACAUGCAAGUCGUACGCACUGGCCCAACUGAUUGAUGGUGCUUGCACCUGAUUGACGAUGGAUCACCAGUGAGUGGCGGACGGGUGAGUAACACGUAGGUAACCUGCCCCGGAGCGGGGGAUAACAUUUGGAAACAGAUGCUAAUACCGCAUAACAACAAAAGCUGCAUGGCUUUUGUUUGAAAGAUGGCUUUGACUAUCACUCUGGGAUGGACCUGCGGUGCAUUAGCUAGUUGGUAAGGUAACGGCUUACCAAGGCGAUGAUGCAUAGCCGAGUUGAGAGACUGAUCGGCCACAAUGGAACUGAGACACGGUCCAUACUCCUACGGGAGGCAGCAGUAGGGAAUCUUCCACAAUGGGCGCAAGCCUGAUGGAGCAACACCGCGUGAGUGAAGAAGGGUUUCGGCUCGUAAAGCUCUGUUGUUGGAGAAGAACGUGCGUGAGAGUAACUGUUCACGCAGUGACGGUAUCCAACCAGAAAGUCACGGCUAACUACGUGCCAGCAGCCGCGGUAAUACGUAGGUGGCAAGCGUUAUCCGGACUUAUUGGGCGUAAAGCGAGCGCAGGCGGUUGCUUAGGUCUGAUGUGAAAGCCUUCGGCUUAACCGAAGAAGUGCAUCGGAAACCGGGCGACUUGAGUGCAGAAGAGGACAGUGGAACUCCAUGUGUAGCGGUGGAAUGCGUAGAUAUAUGGAAGAACACCAGGGGCGAAGGCGGCUGUCUGGUCUGCAAC
rnacentral:rRNA from 1 species